UACGUAGGGAGCAAGCGUUGUUCGGAUUUACUGGGCGUAAAGGGCGCGUAGGCGGCGCGGUAAGUCACUUGUGAAAUCUCUGAGCUUAACUCAGAACGGCCAAGUGAUACUGCAGUGCUAGAGUGCAGAAGGGGCAAUCGGAAUUCUUGGUGUAGCGGUGAAAUGCGUAGAUAUCAAGAGGAACACCAGAGGUGAAGACGGGUUGCUGGGCUGACACUGACGCUGAGGCGCGAAAGCCAGGGGAGCAAACGGG
rnacentral:rRNA from 1 species